GAUCAGUAAAAUAAUGAUGUAUUUUACAAUUGAUGUGAUUGAUACAUCAUACAAUUUUUAGAAAAUGCUUUUAGUAUUAACAAAUGAUCAUUCAGUGGUUUGUAUACACCUGGUAUUAUUCUACAUGCUUGAUGUAUUAUUAAUUCAUUCAAUCUUCACAGCAUCUCAGGAGGGAGACAGUAACACCACUCCCGUGAUCCAAUUCUGAAUCUAAGCCCAAGUCCUACAAGAAAUAAACAGAAAAACCUGAGCUUGACUCAGCCUGUUUCCAGAAUGCUUGCUCACAUCAAAUAUGUUAGAGUAUCUUUUAUCUUAUAUAGUAAAUACUUUAUAGGUUUAGUUUAAGAAUUGUUACUCUUCACCACAGUCAUGAAGCUAUCUUUUUAAGUUCUAAAUAAUGUAUUAAAUUGUUUUUAUAUUUAGGUCUGUGAUCCAUUUGGAAUAGGUUAUGUGUGUAAUGUGAGACGGUAGAUUUUAUUUCCAAUGACGCAUAUUCACAUCCCUACAUUUAUUGAAAAUUUAUUUCCCCACUAAUUUAUCUUAUAUAUUAUUUGCCUAUAUAUGCAUGUGUUCGUUUUUAAGCUCUCUUUAAUUUUUUUCCAUUGAUAUUCUCCAUCUUUGUGCAAAUACUGAGUUAGUCCCUUCAUUUAAUGCAAGAAUUUUCCUCCAGUGCCCUUUCUGUUGUCCACUGUACUGUUCUAUAAUGAAGUAAAAGAAGGGUGAAAAUUUGCACACCUUACACCUACACCAGGAUUCCCAGCUGUAUCUUGAAGGAAGCGGAGGUUAGAACUUUCAAGAUUAAUGUCGACACUAAUGUCUCUAAUGUCCUUGUGAAUCUUAGGCAAUUCUCCCGAGAUACUUUCUGCUUUAUUGUGUGUGCGUGUGUUUAACGUUCUCAGUGAAUUCCAUUUGCUGUCAGGACUCCUGAUUUUCUUUCCCUGCUUUUAGGAUACUCAGUGACUUUCUACUCCCCUAGCAACAGCCAGCAGUGGUAGGAACCUGCACAGACAACCCCAGUACCUUGUGCGCGGGCGCAGACACGCCAAGGGUGGUGGGUUGCUUCCUCCAGACCACGCCCACCGAUGCCGGCAGCAGCUGGUGCAGCGGAGCUCAGAUCCUCUCUGUGGGGUCUGCACCGGCAAGGGCAGCUGCUCCCUGCCUUUCCUCAGGAGUCAGUGGAGAUGAAUUUUCUCUGAUUGUCAGAUGUUCACAAAGGCUUUAACUUGUAUGAAUGAACUCCGAGACCACCUUUCUGAAUGCACAGACCUGCCACGUUGUUGCUGUGUAAGCAUGAAUUUCAUCAUAUUGUCAGCUUUUCAUCUUACCCAAAAGCUAUAAACAUUGGCUAAAGUCCUCAAUUGCUUGCUCCUCAUUUUUGUAAAUGUGUGCAUGGCAUUUCCUUGAACAGAUGGCUCAUAAAACAGAUAUAAAUUCUCUUUGAUGAGUAAAUACGAAAAUUGUUUUCAGUUAAAUAAAAAAUGCCACUCAGAAAAUUGGCAAAUGCGUCUCCAGGCAGCAAAUAUUUUUAGAUUACGGUCUUGUAGAAAUAUAAUUACAAUAAGUACUUAUUUUGUUUUAUCACAUAGCAUGUUUCAAAGAGGUUUUCAUGCAUGUUUCUUUUUCGGAUUACCAUUUUUAUUGACAAUAAGUUGCCCAUCUUUCUAUUUCUGAUCUGAUCUUUUGAUGUCUGUUGUUUUUGUCUGAAGCUCUGACUCUCUUCUAAUGUACUUUGCAUAUGAAGAGAAAGCUGGUUAUCCUGACUAGUAAAGAAGGGAUUAUUGAACCUGAAACUGUGAAGAGACACAAAAGCAACAAGAGGACAGAAACAAUUCAGGGCUUCAAUAAGCAGAGUACAAUCUAUUUAGUGACUGCAAUGUGGAAAUCUCUAAUGUCAGCAAGACUGUGUUGAGAGGAACACAUUUUCUUGUGAGUGAGCAUUCCUAGAGGAUGAGUAUCUUAGAGACUCAACGGCAUAUGUCUGCUAUGCAAGUAAUGAGUCCUCCAUCUAAUGGUGUACAAACUAUUCUGGAAGGAUCUGUUCAGGAUUUAUGAGGUGUUAGCAACCUACAGAGCAAGAACACUGAUACUUUUUGGUUACUCCAAAUUAUUAUUUAUAAAAUAUUAUUAUAACUUGGUGUUUGUUUUGCCAGGUAAGACUUCAGUCAGGGGCUCUGAGGUCGGUACUGUAUCCAGGGAAUUUAAAGUCCAGAUCUUAGUUUAAAAAAAAUGGCCUGUCAUCUUCACUCUAUUAUUGAAUUAGAGCCUGACAUCAUUAAUUUUAAUUUUACUGAAUAUAAAUAGCAACCCUAUAUUCUAUGCAUACUGUUUUGACUGUGGCAUUUAUUUAGAGAAGAAUGGAGACAAGAUGAUUCCAACUUAAAGGAAACUGGAAGUAUUCUGAGGAAACAAAUAGAGAAGUUCUGUGACCCAUGUUUUGGUGAAGUAAUGAUGACACAGGGAUACCCUGCCUCAUGAACGCUGGUGUGACUUCUCUCUUCUGUUCUUACCACUGGACAUGAUGGCUUGAUGAAGUCAGGCCACCUCGCUCUUCUAUGCUCUCAGUUCCAUCUUCUCAACUCGGAAAGCCUGCCAAGGUCCUUACAACAUCACAGCUGGGAAACUCUCAAAGCAGUAAACUUGGGCAAUAGUAGGCUUCACUCACAUCAUUGUUGUGUAUUUCCAGGUAUCAUUGUUCUCCAUCAUUUGGUGUACAGUACUUUAAAAAAGUUUCAUAUUCUUUGUCCAUUUUUUUAUUUAUGUGUGAUAAGGCAUGUCCAGUUCCUAUUAGUUUUUCCAUAACAUCUUGAUUCAUUCCUCCUGCAAAUUCUCGAUGAUCACUCCAUCCCUGGCUAUAUGCUUCUUGUUCACAGUGUAAAGGAGAAUAAAGACCAAUGUAAGCUAAACUCACAGAGAGAUAGAUAAUUUUAUUGGCAUUUGUAAUGCUAAAGAGAAGGUCAGAAUUGGCCUAUGUACAGUAUCUGUAGAAGUUUCCAUAGGGGACAUCCACUAGAAGUCAGUGAAUCAAACAUUUAAAAUGGAUAAUAUCUCUAAAAAAAUAUACUGUCUCUGUCAAUUAUAAUAUUUGACUCAUAAUAGCCUUAUUUUAUACUCAUUGAAAAAGCCCUUCAGAAUUGGUAAGAUGUAGCUUUUAUUUACAUAAAAAUGAAAACAUGUUGAAAUUAAUUUGUCAAUGAAUUUCUAAGGAUACAAUGAUAUUCUAAUUUUUCUGAAUCAGAUCUUGAUCCAGAGUCAUGUAUAUCUUAACAUCACUCUGUGGAAUGAAGAGUGAUACGAGUGAAACAUUUCCUAAUACAAGAGGCACCACUGUCUGUGUAAUUUCCAACUUCCCUGUUGACACCCAGUAUUGAUCUCAACUUUAAAUUAACUGUGGUCUGAGAAUAGAUGUUUCAUGAUUUCUAUUUUCUUAAAUUUAUUCAGGCCGGGCAUGGUGGCUCACGCCUGUAAUCCCAGCAC
rnacentral:lncRNA from 1 species